GCCAAUGAGGAGGAGAGGGGCAGAACAUCUGUGCAGAGUAACGCAACAGAUGAUGCGGAAGGGAAAGCAUUUCUGGGCAAAGACUGAGUUGAGUUCUAGGGUAUUUAUUCUGUGGAAUAUUCAGACAGGAGAUGGACAAGAGGACUUGCUUUAGUUCUCUACUAAUAUUAGCCAUCUUUUUUUCUUCACUGCCCUAUAAAAUUUUAUUCAAAUUUUUAUCUAUUCUAGGGCCACUUGUGAGUGGUGGUGGCCAGAGGGAUUCAUUGGGAGGUAUGUGAGUGAUAGCUAGAAGAAGGACAGAGUCCAGGGACUAGAGAGCCUGGUGGCUGUGGUCCUAUCUGUAGUGUGUAAGGAGAGCCAGAGAGUUGUCAGGGGUCAUAGGUAUCUAGAGAGCUGCCUGCCUAUAAUUUAUAGUCUGACAAGAAAUGGCAAUACAAUGUGAUAAACACUAUAAAGCAACAUGGGAGUCCUAAGAAGCAGCGACUAAUUCUGCAUGGGUAAGCAAACAAAGACUU
rnacentral:lncRNA from 1 species